CGGCCAUUUUAUCUCACGGAAACUGGGCAAAUGGCCACACACCCUUCUGUCCUCCUCACGGUUUGAAACCCAGAGGAUCAACUGUAAGAAAGGGAACCAAAGACAAGUGAGGUGAGUUGUUUAAAAUAAUGGAGGCACUCUCCUUUGUGGAGGAAACUGUGCCCAAAUCUCCCAGCGUUUCCCUAGCUUCAGCCAUUGCCUCAUUUACCCUGACCAGGCUGAGGCGAGUGUGAUGGCAGCACCUCAUCCGGGCAGUGGAAGCCAGCAGGGCUGGGGACACUGGGGGCCAGAAAGUGAGCCGGGGGUGUGCACAGAGGUGCAUUUGGAGACAAGGGGCUACCAUUCUCUGUAUCUCAGCUUUUGAAGUAUAUGUCAGACAGAGCGUGCUGCAGAAUAGGAGUACUGGAGAUUAUGCAGCUGCAAAUGAAAUAUCCAAGGUGCCCAGCCAUCAUCACUGACUCCAGAGGAAGCUCUUGGAAGCAGAUCAAAAAAGAGGAGGGGAAGAAGGGAUCACAACAGAUUGUGGAGCCAGAUCCUGCUUUCUGAUUACUUGGGCCCAACACAGCCACAACGCACCCAGGAUUUUGUAAUGGGAAUCUCCAAAAUGAACAAAUGGCUUCCAGCUCUCUUGUCUGUAUAGCAGAGAAUACAAAAAUCAAGCAGCCAGCAGCAAACAAACAUUUACUUCUUUCUUGGCUGCAAAAUGAAUGAUGACACAUUCUUCUGCAUCUGGGGCCUGAUGCAGCAGGAACAGAGAUGUGAAGGAGUACAUCAUGACAGUAAUUCUUUGGCAGAACAAGGAGUUAUAUCAAGGGCAAUGCCACACUGUUUCAGAAGGGUGUUCAUCCCACACACAACUAUCUGGACCCUUGUGCACACAGAGCAGCUGCUGAAGAACUGCACAGCAGUUCCUUUUCCUCUGAAGCUUGCUCCUAUUAUGUCUCUUUCACCUCCAAGAGAGAGAAAAAGCCCCCAUAGGACUGCAUAUUUUAGUGGUAUGACAUGACCAGGAGCUAAAUGCCAUAUGUUUUCUGUCUUAGUUGUAAGAAUAAAUGUUGAAGGCAGCAGACAUGGGUUGUUACAUGUUCCUGAGGCUUUUAAGCUUCAGGAAAUUAAUUAAAUAAAUAUAUAAAAUAAAGCCAA